AUUGAACGCUGGCGGAAUGCUUUACACAUGCAAGUCGAGCGGCAGCACGGGGGCAACCCUGGUGGCGAGCGGCGAACGGGUGAGUAAUACAUCGGAACAUGCCCAGUCGUGGGGGAUAACACUUCGAAAGAAGUGCUAAUACCGCAUACGUCCUGAGGGAGAAAGCGGGGGAUCUUCGGACCUCGCGCGAUUGGAGUGGCCGAUGUCAGAUUAGCUAGUUGGUGGGGUAAAGGCCUACCAAGGCAACGAUCUGUAGCUGGUCUGAGAGGAUGAUCAGUCACACUGGGACUGAGACACGGCCCAGACUCCUACGGGAGGCAGCAGUGGGGAAUUUUGGACAAUGGGGGCAACCCUGAUCCAGCCAUUCCGCGUGAGUGAAGAAGGCCUUCGGGUUGUAAAGCUCUUUCGGCAGGAACGAAACGGCGAGCUCUAACAUAGCUUGCUAAUGACGGUACCUGAAGAAGAAGCACCGGCUAACUACGUGCCAGCAGCCGCGGUAAAAC
rnacentral:rRNA from 1 species